GGAAUUUUCCGCAAUGGGCGAAAGCCUGACGCAGCGACGCCGCGUGGAGGAUGACGGUCUUCGGAUUGUAAACUCCUGUUAUGUGGGAAGAAAUAGGAUGACGGUACCAUUAGAGAAAGCACCGGCUAACUUCGUGCCAGCAGCCGCGGUAAUACGAGGGGUGCUAGCGUUAUUCGGAAUUAUUGGGCGUAAAGGGUGCGUAGACGGCAUUUCAAGUCAGCUGUUAAAUUUCUCGGCCUAACUGAGAAUCAGCGGUAGAUACUGAUAUGCUAGAGGACGGAAGAGAGAAGUGGAAUUCUCGGAGUAGCGGUAAAAUGCGUGGAUCUCGAGAGGAACACCAAUGGCGAAGGCAGCUUCUUGGUCCGUUUCUGACGUUGAGGCACGAAAGCGUGGGGAGCAAACAGGAUUAGAUACCCCUGUAGUC
rnacentral:rRNA from 1 species